AGAGAUUGAUCCUGGCUCAGAAUGAACGCUGGCGGCGGGCCUAAUACAUGCAAGUCGAACGAGGCGGGAGUGCUUGCACUCCUAGCCGAGUGGCGCACGGGUGAGUAACACGUAGGUAAUCUACCCCGAAGCCUGGGAUAACAGGGAGAAAUCGCUGCUAAUACCAGAUAAUGUUGCAGAUUUUAGUUAAUUUGCGACCAAACGGGUUUCCGCUUCGGAAUGAGCCUGCGGCCCAUUAGCUAGUAGGUGGGGUAAAAGCCUACCUAGGCGACGAUGGGUAGCCGGCCUGAGAGGGUGAUCGGCCACACUGGAACUGAGACACGGUCCAGACUCCUACGGGAGGCAGCAGUAGGGAAUAUUGGACAAUGGGCGAAAGCCUGAUCCAGCCACGCCGCGUGAGCGAAGAAGCCCUUCGGGGUGUAAAGCUCUGUAAGGUGGGAAGACGACUUCGGUCAGACGGUACCACCAAAGUAAGCCCCGGCUAACUCCGUGCCAGCAGCCGCGGUAAUACGGGGGGGGCAAGCGUUAUUCGGAAUUACUGGGCGUAAAGAGCGCGUAGGCGGCCAUUCUAGUCGCUUCGUUAAAUACCCUGGCUUAACCAGGGACCUGCGGGCGAUACUGUUUGGCUUGAGUGCGAGAGAGGGGAGUGGAAUUCCUAGUGUAGCGGUGAAAUGCGUAGGUAUUAGGAGGAACACCAGUGGCGAAGGCGACUCCCUGGAUCGUAACUGACGCUGAGGCGCGAAAGCUAGGGGAGCAAACGGGAUUAGAUACCCCGGUAGUCCUAGCCGUAAACGAUGGGCACUAGGUGUGGCAGGCAUCGACCCCUGCCGUGCCGGAGCUAACGCGUUAAGUGCCCCGCCUGGGGAGUACGUUCGCAAGAAUGAAACUCAAAGGAAUUGACGGGGGCCCGCACAAGCGGUGGAGCAUGUGGUUUAAUUCGAUGCAACGCGAAGAACCUUACCGGGGUUUGACAUGCACGAGCUACUCUGCGAAAUCAGAGGUUCCUUCGGGACUCGUGAACAGGUGCUGCAUGGCUGUCGUCAGCUCGUGUCGUGAGAUGUUGGGUUAAGUCCCGCAACGAGCGCAACCCUUGCCCUUAGUUGCCAUCAGGUGAAGCUGGGAACUCUAAGGGGACUGCCGUUGAAAAAACGGAGGAAGGUGGGGAUGAGGUCAAGUCAUCAUGGCCCUUACGUCCCGGGCUACACACGUGCUACAAUGGUCGGUACAAAGGGUUGCAAGACCGCAAGGUGGAGCCAAUCCCAAAAAGCCGAUCUCAGUUCGGAUUGGAGUCUGCAACUCGACUCCAUGAAGGUGGAAUCGCUAGUAAUCGUGGAUCAGCACGCCACGGUGAAUACGUUCCCGGGCCUUGUACACACCGC
rnacentral:rRNA from 1 species